AUUACCACACAAUGGUAUGUAUUGGCCGUGUUACUACUGUACAUAUUAAAUAUGCAAAAAUCUUUCUGGUGAGCUGUAAUGAAGUCUUAUGAAAAGCUCUCCUUUAGUGAUAACUCUUAUUGGCAGUAAUGGCCUCCUGUCUUUUGGCUGCAUAAGCAAUGCUGUGUCAGGAGGCAGGUAAACAAGUUUCAUGCAUAGGUGUC